CGGAGACGCAUUCCCACCAGUGCUGCCGCCAUAUUCUCCAACAUUUGGAUUUGUCUUUGCUGCUGCAACAAAUUUAAAUUCUUCUUUUUAUUUGAAAAACUUUUUUGCAAGAUGUCAAUGCCCUUCGUACGUGUCAAACGUGUGCAAGAAAGAGGUUAAAAGUAAUCUGUACAGAAUGAAACUCAACUUUGGUCCACCAAUCGACAGCCGUUUGUUGUCCAACACAGCUGGUCAGUGUUCUAAGAAGUGAACCUGUCCACCCUCUAUCGAAGACCGAUAGGGUUAAGCCCUAAAUCUGGAUCAAAUUGCAUCAGCUGUUGUCAAGGACUAUCUUUCUGAUCGAUCAACGACGCUCGAAUAUUCGAAAAUUCUUCAAGAAGAGAGAGAAAGAGGGAGAGAGAGUAUCGUCGAAUGGACGACGUGACGAAAAGCGGAGCGCAACAACCGGCAUAAUCGGUUCCGAGAAGGAGCCGAGUGGAAAGCAGCGUGGCGAUCGACGGAGUCGAUUCGAAGGUUGCCUCGAUACGUGACGCGACGUCGUAAAACAGGAGUUGCUGGAAGAAAGCGCGCGGCGUACGCGUGGAUAUCGCAAGCGGAGGAACGAAAGCAAGCGUUGCAAUCGAGCCUUCCGCUCCUGAGUGUCGCGAGAAAUGUGUGCCGUAAAACUGAAAUGGCGAGAAACACCGGUCGAGCAGCACAGGUCAGCGAUUGAUUUUUCCUUCGCUUCCGUGUGAAACCUGAUUUAUACCGAUUUUUCUGGCCAAUCAUACGGAGUCUAAAUAUUGGCCUGGAUCUCGUUCCUCUCUUUAAUUCUCUUUCCAAGUCGUAUAAAAAUCUAUGAUUUACGUUCCUUCGAUAGAUUUUUGAUUUUCCGUAAAAAGUUAAUUAAAAUUUGGAAAAUCACUGAAAAUAUCUACGAUUCCUCAUUGCCUCCAUAAGAUCAAAAUGGAAAACUCCAUUUGAUCGCCAAUC